ensembl:snRNA U6 U6 spliceosomal RNA
GUGCUCACUUCGGCAGCACAUAUACUAAAACUGGAACGAUACAGAGAAGAUUAGCAUGGCUCCUGUGCAUGGAUGACAUGCAAAUUUGUGUAGUGUUCCAUAUUUUU